rnacentral:misc_RNA from 1 species
UUAAGUUCAGCGGGUAGUCCUACCUGAUUUGAGGUCAAGUUGGUCAAAAUAAAUGUGUGUUCAAGAAGCGGUCCAAUCUGUUUCAUGCAGCAUACCAAAAGGCAUAGAUAAUUAUCACACCUGUAGUAGUUUCCUCUGCUCAGAUACUGCUAAUGAAUUUCAGGGGAGCAGACCUCAAGAAAGCCUGCAACAACAACCCC